rnacentral:rRNA from 1 species
UACGUAGGGGCCGAGCGUUGUCCGGAGUUAUUGGGCGUAAAGCGCGCGCAGGCGGCCUCGCGCGCCCGACGUGAAAGCCCCCGGCUUAACCGGGGAGGGUCGUUGGGGACGGCGGGGCUUGAGGGCGGGAGAGGUCGGUGGAAUUCCCGGUGUAGUGGUGAAAUGCGUAGAUAUCGGGAGGAACACCUGUGGCGAAAGCGGCGCACUGGACCACAACUGACGCUGAGGCGCGAAAGCUAGGGGAGCAAACAGG